rnacentral:rRNA from 1 species
AACCCCUGUGAACAUACCACUUGUUGCCUCGGCGGAUCAGCCCGCUCCCGGUAAAACGGGACGGCCCGCCAGAGGACCCCUAAACUCUGUUUCUAUAUGUAACUUCUGAGUAAAACCAUAAAUAAAUCAAAACUUUCAACAACGGAUCUCUUGGUUCUGGCAUCGAUGAAGAACGCAGCAAAAUGCGAUAAGUAAUGUGAAUUGCAGAAUUCAGUGAAUCAUCGAAUCUUUGAACGCACAUUGCGCCCGCCAGUAUUCUGGCGGGCAUGCCUGUUCGAGCGUCAUUUCAACCCUCAAGCACAGCUUGGUGUUGGGACUCGCGUUAAUUCGCGUUCCUCAAAUUGAUUGGCGGUCACGUCGAGCUUCCAUAGCGUAGUAGUAAAACCCUCGUUACUGGUAAUCGUCGCGGCCACGCCGUUAAACCCCAACUUCUGAAUGUUGACCUCGGAUCAGGUAGGAAUACCCGCUGAACUUAAGCAUAUCAAUAG